CCUUCCUUCUGCACUACACAUCAGUCCGGCGGCUGCGACGGAGUUCAGCAGCGGAGGCUCUCCGAAUCGGCACAUCAACCAUUGAGCUCUCGCAAUAAACCCUAGCUAGCUCGGUGGAUGGAUCUAGGUUGAUGAUGAUGGCGCAGCCCACGCGGUGGAUGCUGGCUCCUCUGCUUCGACUGGAUCAAAGAAAGGGGCACUGAAUCUGUUGGGAAUUUGGUUAUCAAAGGAACAAGUAACAUCGGGCAUUCAAUCGAUACAC